AGGGAAGAAGCGCAAGUGACGGUACCUGCAGAAGAAGCACCGGCUAACUACGUGCCAGCAGCCGCGGUAAUACGUAGGGUGCGAGCGUUGUCCGGAAUUAUUGGGCGUAAAGAGCUCGUAGGCGGUCUGUCACGUCGGAUGUGAAAGCCCGGGGCUUAACCCCGGGUCUGCAUUCGAUACGGGCAGACUAGAGUGUGGUAGGGGAGAUCGGAAUUCCUGGUGUAGCGGUGAAAUGCGCAGAUAUCAGGAGGAACACCGGUGGCGAAGGCGGAUCUCUGGGCCAUUACUGACGCUGAGGAGCGAAAGCGUGGGGAGCGAACAGGAUUAGAUACCCUGGUAGUCCACGCCGUAAACGUUGGGAACUAGGUGUUGGCGACAUUCCACGUCGUCGGUGCCGCAGCUAACGCAUUAAGUUCCCCGCCUGGGGAGUACGGCCGCAAGGCUAAAACUCAAAGGAAUUGACGGGGGCCCGCACAAGCAGCGGAGCAUGUGGCUUAAUUCGACGCAACGCGAAGAACCUUACCAAGGCUUGACAUACACCGGAAACGCCUAGAGAUAGGCGCCCCCUUGUGGUCGGUGUACAGGUGGUGCAUGGCUGUCGU
rnacentral:rRNA from 1 species